rnacentral:rRNA from 1 species
AGAACGAACGCUGGCGGCAUGCCUAACACAUGCAAGUCGAACGAGACCUUCGGGUCUAGUGGCGCACGGGUGCGUAACGCGUGGGAAUCUGCCCUUGGGUUCGGAAUAACAGCGAGAAAUUGCUGCUAAUACCGGAUGAUGACGUAAGUCCAAAGAUUUAUCGCCCAAGGAUGAGCCCGCGUAGGAUUAGCUUGUUGGUGAGGUAAGAGCUCACCAAGGCGACGAUCCUUAGCUGGUCUGAGAGGAUGAUCAGCCACACUGGGACUGAGACACGGCCCAGACUCCUACGGGAGGCAGCAGUGGGAAUAUUGGACAAUGGGCGAAAGCCUGAUCCAGCAAUGCCGCGUGAGUGAUGAAGGCCUUAGGGUGUAAAGCUCUUUUACCCGGAUGAUAAUGACAGUACCGGAGAAGUAAGCUCCGGCUAACGUCCGUCGCCGAGCAGCCGCGGU